UCUCUCUAUCUCGACUCUAGCUCUCUCUCUCUCUUCUUCUCCUCCUACUCGCUCUCUCUCUCCUCUCUCUCUCUCCUCUCUCCUCCUCUCCCUCUCUCUACUCUCCUCUCUCUCUCUCUCUCUCUCCCCCCUCUCUCUCUCUCCUCUCUCUCUCUUCUCCUCUCUGUCUCUCUCUCUCUCUCUCUGACCACCUCUCUCUUCGUCCCAUAAUUUCUCCUCCCCACAUCCCUCUCAUCAUCCCUCCUUCCUUCUCAUUCUUUCCUUCCUUCCCUCUCUCUCUCACUCUCCCUCUCGCUCUCUCUCUCACACAGACACACACACACACACACACAGAGAGAGAGAGCCGGCCACUGCCUUCCUGGCUCCAAUUAUCUUCAAACACUUCUCUACCACACGAUCUUCACAACAUCCCUCCUGAUUGCGCACAAAUGUUAUCCCAUUCCAAUUAGAUUAAUUAAAAAUAUUUGCAAAGCCACAAGAAUGUUAAGCCCCUUCAUUUAGGCAGAGGGUGAAAUAUAUGUCUGGUGAAUACUGGGAACACACACCACUUGGUCCUCUCUUUCUCUCUCUCCACAUGUGCACACACAUACACACACACCAAGGCCCUUUGGCACAAUUGUGUGAUUUAAAUUACACGAAUGCUGAAUUAAAAUUGUGGUAUUGGUGAAGGCUGAAUUAAAAUUGUGGUAUUGGUGAAGGCUGAAUUAAAAUUGUGGCAUUGGUAUUUUAUUUCGAACACACACACAAGUAUUAACUGUAAUAUUGCUUGGUAUACAAUAUAGUUCACAUACUUCAAAGACAUAAUAGCUCAACUUUUAAGAGAGUACUCUGCAACGAUGCAACAUGACAACCUGAAACAAUGACUUUCUCUAUCUCUCUCUCUCUCUCUCUAGGUGAGUACUGGCGGUCGUUGAGGGUGGUGGCCCACACAGUGGAUCAGUCAUACAUGCAGGCCCAAGGACACAGUCUGAGACGUGGCUCAGAGGACCACAAUGACACCGUCUCUGCCCUGGCCUCUCUCUCCAUGGCCAGCCUCACCACAAACAGGACACAACCAGAUGAACUUAUGGAGGGGGACAGAGACUCCAUGUAGACAAGUGCACUUUCCGACAAACCUUACACACACACACACACAUACACACACACACACACACACACACUGUGAUCCACUCAGUCCUGCUUUACUUGACCAGAAUCCACUGUCUCCAGUUGACACUGUACAGACCAUAUCCUGCCCACUAUAG
rnacentral:lncRNA from 1 species